rnacentral:rRNA from 1 species
UACGAAGGGGGCUAGCGUUGCUCGGAAUCACUGGGCGUAAAGCGCACGUAGGCGGAUUGCUAAGUCAGGGGUGAAAUCCUGGAGCUCAACUCCAGAACUGCCUUUGAUACUGGCGACCUUGAGUCCGGGAGAGGUGAGUGGAACUGCGAGUGUAGAGGUGAAAUUCGUAGAUAUUCGCAAGAACACCAGUGGCGAAGGCGGCUCACUGGCCCGGUACUGACGCUGAGGUGCGAAAGCGUUGGGAGCAACAGGA